rnacentral:rRNA from 1 species
GGUGGUUAAAGAUGAGCAUGCGUCCUAUUAGCUUGUUGGUAAGGUAAAAGCUUACCAAGGNUACGAUAGGUAGGGGGCCUGAGAGGGUGAUCCCCCACACUGGUACUGAGACACGGACCAGACUCCUACGGGAGGCAGCAGUGAGGAAUAUUGCACAAUGGAGGAAACUCUGAUGCAGCCAUGCCGCGUGCAGGAUGAAUGCCCUAUGGGUUGUAAACUGCUUUUCUGCAAGAAGAAACCUUAGUACGGUACUAAGCUGACGGUAUUUAGGA